UGGGGAAUUUUGGACAAUGGGCGAAAGCCUGAUCCAGCAAUGCCGCGUGUGUGAAGAAGGCCUUCGGGUUGUAAAGCACUUUUGUCCGGAAAGAAAUCCUUGGCUCUAAUACAGUCGGGGGAUGACGGUACCGGAAGAAUAAGCACCGGCUAGCUACGUGCCAGCAGCCGCGGUAAUACGUAGGGUGCAAGCGUUAAUCGGAAUUACUGGGCGUAAAGCGUGCGCAGGCGGUUUUGCUAAGACCGAUGUGAAAUCCCCGGGCUCAACCUGGGAACUGCAUUGGUGACUGGCAGGCUAGAGUAUGGCAGAGGGGGGUAGAAUUCCACGUGUAGCAGUGAAAUGCGUAGAGAUGUGGAGGAAUACCGAUGGCGAAGGCAGCCCCCUGGGCCAAGUACUGACGCUCAUGCACGAAAGCGUGGGGGAGCAAACNGGAUUAAUACCCUGGUAGUCCACGCCCUAAANGAUGUCAACUAGUUGUUGGGGAUUCAUUUUCCUUAGUAACGUAGCUAACGCGUGAAGUUGACCGCCUGGGGGAGUACGGUCGCAAGA
rnacentral:rRNA from 1 species